UACGUAGGGUCCGAGCGUUGUCCGGAAUUACUGGGCGUAAAGAGCUCGUAGGUGGUUUGUCGCGUUGUUCGUGAAAACUCACAGCUCAACUGUGGGCGUGCGGGCGAUACGGGCAGACUAGAGUACUGCAGGGGAGACUGGAAUUCCUGGUGUAGCGGUGGAAUGCGCAGAUAUCAGGAGGAACACCGGUGGCGAAGGCGGGUCUCGUGGGCAGUAACUGACGCUGAGGAGCGAAAGCCGUGGGGAGCGAACAGG
rnacentral:rRNA from 1 species